rnacentral:rRNA from 1 species
GACGAACGCUGGCGGCGUGCUUAACACAUGCAAGUCGAACGGAAAGGCCCUGCUUGCCGGGUACUCGAGUGUCGAACGGGUGAGUAACACGUGGGUGAUCUGCCCUCCACUUCGGGAUAAGCCUUGGAAACUGGGUCUAAUACCGGAUAGGAGCCAUUUUUAUUCUGAUGGUUGGAAAGUUUUUUCGGUGUAGGAUGAGCUCGCGGCCUAUCAGCUUGUUGGUGGGGUAAUGGCUUACCAAGGCGGCGACGGGUAGCCGGCCUGAGAGGGUGGACGGCCACAUUGGGACUGAGAUACGGCCCAGACUCCUACGGGAGGCAGCAGUGGGGAAUAUUGCACAAUGGGCGCAAGCCUGAUGCAGCGACGCCGCGUGGGGGAUGAAGGCCUUCGGGUUGUAAACUCCUUUCGCUAGGGACGAAGCUUUUGUGACGGUACCUAGAUAAGAAGCACCGGCUAACUACGUG